rnacentral:rRNA from 1 species
GACGAACGCUGGCGGCGUGCUUAACACAUGCAAGUCGAACGGAAAGGCCCCGCUUUUGUGGGGUGCUCGAGUGGCGAACGGGUGAGUAACACGUGAGUAACCUGCCCUUGACUUUGGGAUAACUUCAGGAAACUGGGGCUAAUACCGGAUAGGAGCUCCUGCUGCAUGGUGGGGGUUGGAAAGUUUCGGCGGUUGGGGAUGGACUCGCGGCUUAUCAGCUUGUUGGGGGGGUAGUGGCUUACCAAGGCUUUGACGGGUAGCCGGCCUGAGAGGGUGACCGGCCACAUUGGGACUGAGAUACGGCCCAGACUCCUACGGGAGGCAGCAGUGGGGAAUAUUGCACAAUGGGCGGAAGCCUGAUGCAGCAACGCCGCGUGCGGGAUGACGGCCUUCGGGUUGUAAACCGCUUUCGCCUGUGACGAAGCGUGAGUGACGGUAAUGGGUAAAGAAGCACCGGCUAACUACGUG